AGAGUUUGAUCCUGGCUCAGAGCGAACGCUGGCGGCAGGCCUAACACAUGCAAGUCGAGCGCCGUAGCAAUACGGAGCGGCAGACGGGAGAGUAACACGUGGGAACGUGCCCUUCAGUUCGGAACAACCCAGGGAAACUUGGGCUAAUACCGGAUACGUCCGUAAGGAGAAAGAUUUAUCGCUGAAGGAUCGGCCCGCGUCUGAUUAGCUUGUUGGUGAGGUAACGGCUCACCAAGGCGACGAUCAGUAGCUGGUCUGAGAGGAUGAUCAGCCUCACUGGGACUGAGACACGGCCCAGACUCCUACGGGAGGCAGCAGUGGGGAAUAUUGGACAAUGGGCGCAAGCCUGAUCCAGCCAUGCCGCGUGGGUGAUGAAGGCCCUAGGGUUGUAAAGCCCUUUCGGCGGGGAAGAUAAUGACGGUACCCGCAGAAGAAGCC
rnacentral:rRNA from 1 species